AGAUGGAGUACAACAUCGAACAAGUGGGAGACCUGGCCUUUGCCUGCAGAGACAUGGAAGGGACCCCUGCUGCCAGACCCCAGGAGGAGCCAGACGGACCACGAGAUGGGUGCUUCUUUGUCCCGAGAGGUCACACAGGCACGUCCUGUGUCAAAUGUCCCCCUGCCCCUCUGUGGCCACCAGAGGUCGGUCACUGCACUUUAGUCUUUCGGUUAAAGGCACAACAUUCCGGCCAGUCUGCCCUGGGCUCUGCUCCCCUCGACCAUGGAGCAGAAAACAGAAGCCUGAAGUUGCCUCCAAGCUCUGCUAUCUUUAAGGAAAGACAAGGCUGAAUGGAACAUCAGAAAAAUGUUGCAGGGGAGGAGGAACUGGAUUUUCUGAAAGCAAGUUCCUGUUCAAAGUUUCCAGCCACUUCUAUUUCUAGCAGCGGAGACAGUGAGUGUCCCUGAGAAAAACCGCCUGAGUGGUCCCUUUCAGGGAAGGAGAUGAAGGUCAAGUCAGCAACCGAUCCUCUGGGAGAGAGUGAGCCAGGACUGUUGGCCUCGGCAGACUGUCAUCGCCUCGCCCCCUACAUGGCCCGAUUGCUAAGGAGGGGUGGACAAAUUGCGUCAGGGCCAAGAAGCCUUGCGGAAGGACGGGAUCUGGACUCCUUCACAGAUUCAAAGCUAUUGCAGCGUCUCUGAAGCACUCGUGGUGCUGGCCGCCUGACUCCUUCAGGGGGAGGCUGGAUGCGAUCACAGACUGUGCAGAGACAUGCGAUCACAGACUGCAAUCGAGACAUGCGUGAAUUUCAUUAC
rnacentral:lncRNA from 1 species